rnacentral:rRNA from 1 species
AACGAACGCUGGCGGCAGGCCUAACACAUGCAAGUCGAACGAAGUCUUCGGACUUAGUGGCGCACGGGUGAGUAACCCGUGGGAAUAUACCUUACGCUGGGGGAUAACAUCGGGAAACUGAUGCUAAUACCGCAUACGCCCUUCGGGGGAAAGAUUUAUCGGCGAAAGAUUAGCCCGCGUCCGAUUAGCUAGUUGGUGAGGUAAUGGCUCACCAAGGCUCCGAUCGGUAGCUGGUCUGAGAGGAUGCCCAGCCACACUGGGACUGAGACACGGCCCAGACUCCUACGGGAGGCAGCAGUGGGGAAUAUUGGACAAUGGGCGCAAGCCUGAUCCAGCCAUGCCGCGUGAGUGAUGAAGGCCUUAGGGUUGUAAAGCUCUUUCACCCACGACGAUGAUGACGGUAGUGGGAGAAGAAGCCCCGGCUAACUUCGUG